AUUGAACGCUGGCGGCAGGCUUAACACAUGCAAGUCGAACGAGUGGCGGACGGGUGUGUAAUGUGUGGGAAUCUAGCUUAUGGAGGGGGAUAAAUACGGGACACUGUAGCUAAUAGCGCGUACCCUAGGAUGAGCCCAAGUGGGAUGAGGUAAGUGGUGAGGUAGAGGCUCACAAAGCCGACGAUCUCUAGCUGGUCUGAGAGGAUGACCAGCCACACUGGGACUGAGACACGGCCCAGACUCCUACGGGAGGCAGCAGUGGGGAAUAUGGCGCAAUGGGGGCAACCUGACGCAGCCAUGCCGCGUGAAUGAAGAAGGCCUUCGGGUUGUAAAGUUCUUUCGGUAGCGAGGCGUUAACUACAGAAGAAGCACCGGCUAACUCCGUGCCAGCAGCCGCGGUAAUAC
rnacentral:rRNA from 1 species